GUAGCAAGCUCCAUGUUGCCUCCUAGGGGCAGCACAGCAUAGUAUUUUAGACAACUCUAUCUCAGACUGCUUAAAAUCCGGCUCAGCCACUUACAGCAACGUAAAUUGAGAGGCAGAUUUGUUUUCCUUAAAUAUAUUCAAGAAAAAGUUGCUAACAACCAGAAGGACUGUGCAUUAAUGCUUAAAAAUUGCCUAAACAAAUUCAGCGUGAUAUGUGAGAAGAGGCAAAUAUCAUUGUUCCCAGAGGCUCAAUCACUUUAAAAACAGCAA
rnacentral:lncRNA from 1 species